rnacentral:misc_RNA from 1 species
CGCACAUUGCGCCCUUUGGUAUUCCUUAGGGCAUGCCUGUUCGAGCGUCAUUUAUCUCAAAGGCCCCCCGCUUUUGUGGGGGGGUUGUUGGGCGCAUGUCCCGCCAUAGGUGCGGACACGCCCUAAAUGCAUUGGCGGCCUUCGUCUUGGGCUAUCGAGCGCAGCAGACUCGCGCCUCUGGUCCAGUGCGUUGGCGUCCACGAAGCAAAUCACAUCUUGACCUCGGAUCAGGUAGGGAUACCCGCUGAACUUAA